GCCCAUAUAGCUCAGAUGGUAGAGCGUCACCUUGGUAAGGUGGAGGUCAGCGGUUCGAUUCCGCUUAUGGGCU
rnacentral:tRNA from 2 species